GAUGAACGCUGGCGGCGUGCCUAAUACAUGCAAGUCGAGCGAACGGACGAGAAGCUUGCUUCUCUGAUGUUAGCGGGUUACGGGUGAGUAACACGUGGAUAACCUACCUAUAAGACUGGGAUAACUUCGGGAAACCGGAGCUAAUACCGGAUAAUAUUUUGAACCGCAUGGUUCAAAAGUGAAAGACGGUCUUGCUGUCACUUAUAGAUGGAUCCGCGCUGCAUUAGCUAGUUGGUAAGGUAACGGCUUACCAAGGCAACGAUGCAUAGCCGACCUGAGAGGGUGAUCGGCCACACUGGAACUGAGACACGGUCCAGACUCCUACGGGAGGCAGCAGUAGGGAAUCUUCCGCAAUGGGCGAAAGCCUGACGGAGCAACGCCGCGUGAGUGAUGAAGGUCUUCGGAUCGUAAAACUCUGUUAUUAGGGAAGAACAUAUGUGUAAGUAACUGUGCACAUCUUGACGGUACCUAAUCAGAAAGCCACGGCUAACUACGUG
rnacentral:rRNA from 1 species